UUGAUCAUUUAGAAGAAAUAAAAGUCGUAACAAGGUCUCCGUAGGUGAACCUGCGGA
rnacentral:rRNA from 1 species